GUCCUGAUGGAAUUCCCAGCACUAGUCCAAUUACCUAAACUGCCCCAGAGUGACUGGUGGCAUGGCCCAGUCCCCCCUCCUGGAACGGGGGAGGGCAGAUGUUCAGCCUCAGUUUCCCCAGCUCUGAAAUGGGGCCGAUAAAGAUGCACGUGUGCCAGUACAACAGUGAUGGACGACAGGGGUCUUUCUACCUGCCAGGCAGGUUCGAAGUUCACACGUUUGCAAGGCCCCUGGCACGCAGACACCUCUCGGCAAAUGCGGCCAUUAUUACUCAGGAGCAGAAGAGCUAAUUAGCCUCGCUGCUGAUGCAACAGGAAUUCACAGCCAGCAACUGGCCUGUAAGGGGAGGACGAGGCUAGAACAUCUCAUUUUGAAAAAUGGCUUUUGUUUACCCACGACUGGCAAACAAACGCUCCACGACGUGCGGCUAAUCACCUAAAAAUAACAGCACAUAUGUUCCCUCUAAGGAGUGUUCCUUGCUAACAAGCACAGUGGCCGUGGGGUGCUGGGGGUGGGGGAGCAAGCUCUGCACUCCUUUCCCUGCCCCCACAGCCCUGUGAGAGCCCGGAGUCUCUGGACAUGCAUCUUCUGACCCUCCAUAUCCAGCCUGUCACCCGGCCACAUCAGUCCCACACAAGCCUGCCCUCUCUUCUGUGGUCCUGGCUCCGGUCCCUAGCUGCCGUCCUGGGGUCAGGCCUCCCUACUUCUCGCCGAGACUUGCACCCCAGUGUCCUCACUGCCCUCCCAGCUCUGACCUGCCCCAAAUUUAACUCACAGCUCUGGCACAGAGCUCCCCUGCUUAGAACCCUCUGUGGCUUCCGGUCCUCAAGGCUGGGCCAACCUCAUUCUCCACACCAACUUGGCCUGGCCAUCGGCACUCAACCAUCCCGGCACCCUGAGCACACCCCAAACUCUCAAGCUUCAGGCCUUUGCAGAUGCCACUUCCAUCCACACUCCACCUCAGUACUCUCAGCCAGGCACACAGCUUUCAAUGACAUCUAUACAGUGACAAACAAGGGUCUACUCUUAGAGGCCCUGCCCAUGUGUCCAACCACGAACUGGAUGUCUCCUCCUAGUUGCAAAGUAGGUAUCUUAACAAUGUAUCCAAACAUACAUACACACGCACACACCCACACGCAUGGACACACACAUGCACACACCCACACGCACCACACACAGGCAUGGACACACACAUGCACACACCCACACGCACACACACGGACACACACAUGCACACACCCCACGCACACACACGCAUGCACACACAUGCACACACCCACAUGCACCCACACGCAUGGACACACAUGCACACACCCACACGCAUGCACACACACGGACAACACAUGCACACACCCACAUGCACACACACGGACACACACAUGCACACACCCACACGCACACACAUGCACACACCCACACGCACACACACGCAAGGACACACACAUGCACACACCCACACACACGCAUGCACACACAUGCACACACCCACACGCACACACACAGGCAUGGACACACACAUGCACACACCCACACGCACCCACACGCACAGACACACACAUGCACACACCCACAUGCGCACACACACACAGACAUACACAUGCACACACCCACACGCACACACGGACACACACAUGCACACACCCACACGCACACACACACGGACAGACACAUGCACACACCCACACGCACACACACAGGCAUGGACACACACAUGCACACACCCACACGCACACACACAGGCAUGGACACACACAUGCACACACCCACAGGCACACACACACAUGCACACACACAUGCACGCACACACACGCAUGCACACACACAUGCACACACCCACACAGGCAUGGACACACAUGCACACACCCACACGCAUGGACAGACACAUGCACACACCCACACGCACACACACAGGCAUGGACACACACAUGCACACACCCACACGCACACGGACACACACAUGCACACACCCACACGCACACACACACAUGGACGGACACAUGCACACACCCACACGCACACACACAGGCAUGCACACACACAUGCACACACCCACACAGGCAUGGACACACAUGCACACACCCACACGCAUGGACACACACAUGCACACACCCACACGCACACACACACAUGGACACACACAUGCACACACCCACACGCACACACACAGGCAUGCACACACACAUGCACACACCCACACGCACACACACAGGCAUGGACACACACAUGCACACACAUGCACACACACGCAUGGACACACACAUGCACACACCCACACACA
ensembl:lncRNA